UCUGGUGCCUCCAGCUCCUACUACAGCCGCCCCGCCCCACCUCAAGAAGAGGUGGAGCCUCUCCCGGCCCCUCUCGGACGAGCUAUUUUUAGACAGAAUUUGGCUCUUGUUGUCCAGGCUGGAGUGCAGUGGUACAGUCUCAGCUUACUGCAACCUCCACCUCCCGGGUUCAAGCAAUUCUCCUGCCUCAGCCUCCCAAGUAGCUGGGAUUACAGGUACGCGCCACCACGCCUGGCUAAUGUUUGUAUUUUUAGUAGAGACGGGGUUUCAUCGUGUUGGCCAGGCUGGUGGUCUCGAACUCCUGACCUCAAGUGAUCUGCCCCCCUCAGCCUCGCAAAGUGCUGGGAUUACAGGCAUAGGCCACCACGGAUGGCCAUAACAUGUAUCUUAUGAUUCCAUUUGUAUUUUUUUUAACUAUUUAUAUGAGAAACUCAGGAAUGGUAUUCAAAAUAUUUAACGAGUCUGGCACAGAUACCAACCAAUCAGCACUGAUGCUGGCUCUUACCCUAGAGAAGGAAAGAGACAGUCCUGUUGAAUUGUGGGUGGGAGUCCUGGGGAAAAAGCAAGGGCAGACAAGGUGGCAGUGCAGGGUACUUGGAAGAGACUUCUUACCAAUAAGCGUGAAUAUAUAUGCAGAGAAAGAGCGAGAGGUACCUACAAACAUGACAGUAGUACCCAACACGCACUUUCACUUUUUGCCCCACACAAUCCUAUUUGAAAUUCUAAGAAUGAGUAGGAUUUGAAAAAAAAUUAAUACAGGGAAAAACACCAGCAUGAGCCUAUUUGCAAAAUGUAGCCUGAUAUAAAUUCAUGGCAUAGAUUCACAAAAGGCCAGAAGGAAUCCAGGGUUAUCUGGGGUCCCAGGAACCUCACAUUUCUUACCACUUACUACUCUUGCCAUCAUCACCACCACCAUGUUUUGAAAUGUUCCUUUUCACUAAGCAAACUGGAUUCAUUAAGUAAUACAUUAUUAUUUUAUUUGCUACAUUUUUUAUUAAUCAAAAACAUAAUUUACUGCCAGGUAAAGCUCCCUAUAAACAUCAAAUUAUCAUUAAUGUCAAAAUGAAUUUGUGUAUGUGUGUGUGCGUGUGUGUGUGUGUGUGUACAUUUAUUUACUUAUUUAUUUAUUUAAGAUAUGGUCUCACUGUCUUGCCCAGGUUGGAGCACAGUGGUGUGAUCAUAGUUCACCAUAACCUAGAACCCAUGGGCUCAAGUGAUCCUCCUUCCUUAGCCUCCCAAGUAGCUAGGACUACAGGUGAGCCACCUUGCCUGGCUAUUUGUUUUUUGUAGGGACAGGGUCUUGCUGUGUUGCCCAGUCUGAUCUCUAACUCCUGGGCUCAAGCAGUUCUCCCACCAUGGCCUCCCAAAGUGCUGGCGUUAUAGGCGUGAGCCAAUGUGCGUGGCCAAUUCACAUAUUUUUGAAAUAUCGAAAAUAUUUCUAAUCAAACCCCUCAAAACCCUGUUGGUCAGGAAUAGUUGAAGAACCAUUUGUCAUGCAUUCUCCAAAAAUAGAAGGGAGAGACAAUGUAUGUGUCCCUGCUUGUCUCUAAGACAGCUAGCCCUAGAAAUCCUCAUCUGUGGAGACAGUCAGGAGAGCUGAAAACCAGCAGUGGUUCCUAGGACACAACCCAAAAGACAGCCAUGGGGUAUGGCAGCAGGCCUCAGAGCCUGACGAUGGUAUCAGACAUCUACAAGUCCAAAGCAAGUAGCUGUGAAUAAAUAAAGCUGGGACAUGAGACUUGACUUGUAAAUAUUUUUUAACAAGAUUGUCAAAGCAGUGAUUUUUUUUUUUUUAUCUGGCUUUGUCACCCAGACUGAGUGCAGUGGCACGAUCUUGGCUCACUGUACCCUCAACCUCCCAUGUUCAGGUGAUCCUCCUAACUCAGUCUCCCAGCUAGCUUGGACUACAGGCAUGCAUCACCACACCCAGCUAAUUCUUGUAUUUUCUGUAGAGACAGGGUCUCACCAUCUUGCCCAGGCUGGUCUUGAACUCCUGGGCUCAAGCAAUCCACCUGCCUCAGCCUCCCAAAGUGCCAGGAUUACAGGUGUGAACCACUGUGCCUGGCCAGCAGUGAUUCCUAAAGGGGGAAAUAUUAGAAUAAAAGAGGGAUAGAUGGAUAUAGUUUGAAAGGGUGUCAUAAUUUUACGUUUGGGGGCAAAUAUAAACUUUUUCCCAUAAAGCAAACUAUCAAAAGGAAAGUUCUAGAAAAUCUUGGCUAAGUGUUUGCUGAAGAAAUAUUAAUUUUCAUACCUCCUGAAAAGAAAUAAUAAAUUAUUUAUUUAUUUAUUUGUAAUUGACAAAUAAAAAUUGUAUAUAUUUAUGGUGCUUUGAACAUGACAUUUUGAAAUGCAGGAGGUAAAUUUUUAUGUGAAUCUAAAAAGGGCAGCAGUUUUAAAUAGUCUGAGUUGGUAAGUUGCUUCUGUGGGCCAAUUAUGACAGGGUUAAUGUGUAUAUUGGAAAGAGGUAGGGUAGAGAACAGCAGACACCCUGGGGAGGGGAGGAGACUGUCCCAGGAUCAUGAGGCCAGGGAUUAGGAUAUAAGUGCUGAGGAUCUCAUCUGCUUGAUCCAGCUGUAUCUGCAGCAUCUAAAUCAAUGUUUGGCACAUAGACCAGGCUCAGUUAAUAUUUAUUGACUGAAUGCAUUAAUGAAUGUCAAAAUCAG
rnacentral:lncRNA from 10 species